UACGUAGGGGGCUAGCGUUGUCCGGAAUCAUUGGGCGUAAAGGGCUCGUAGGCGGUCUGUUGCGUCAGGAGUGAAAACUCGGGGCUUAACCCCGAGCCUGCUUCUGAUACGGGCAGACUAGAGGUAUGCAGGGGAGAACGGAAUUCCUGGUGUAGCGGUGAAAUGCGCAGAUAUCAGGAGGAACACCGGUGGCGAAGGCGGUUCUCUGGGCAUUACCUGACGCUGAGGAGCGAAAGUGUGGGGAGCGAACAGG
rnacentral:rRNA from 1 species